rnacentral:lncRNA from 1 species
CGCCCCUCUCCGCAGAAGGCGCCGGGGCAAGCGGCCUGUUGGCGCCCAGUUUCAGCUGGCUGUUCCCGCUAGCAUCAGGGCUCGAUCGUAGAGGACGCGGCAGCCGCAGCUCGCGGAGAACAGCGGGCAGAGCUGUGGGCUGCACGCGCCCCUGCAGCCACCGGGCGUCCCGCAGAGGCUCCCGCGCCCUGCGGCGACUUCCGCCCCCGCGCUCCCCUUUGUCCGAGUCCCCAAGCGGCGGCGGCGGGGUAGGAGCCCACGCCGUGGGCGACUGAGGCGGCGGCAGUCCGCGUCCCGGCGCCCUGGAGAUGCCGGACCAGAUCUCCGUGUCGGAAUUCGUGGCCGAGACCCUUGAGGACUACAAGGCGCCCACGGCCUCUAGCUUCACCACGGGCACGGCCCAGUGCCGGAACACCAUGGCGGCCAUCGAGGAGGUUAAGCUGUUCCCCGGAAUGUUUUAACAACAGGGCAUACCCAGGUU